rnacentral:antisense_RNA from 1 species
GAAGGCACGACAUUGCUCACAUUGCUUCCAGUGUACUUUAGCUAGGGUGGGUUUUUAGU